CUGAAAGGUAAGUAACACAGCCAGUAACACAGCCAGGUCCUGGAAGGUAAGUAACACAGCCAUUAACACAGCCAGGUCUUGGAAGGUAAGUAACACAGCCAUUAACACAGCCAGGUCCUGGAAGGUAAGUAACACAGCCAGGUCCUGGAAGGUAAGUAACACAGUAACACAGCAAGGUCCUGGAAGGUAAGUAACACAGCCAUUAACACAGCCAGGUCCUGGAAGGUCAGUAACACAGCCAGGUCCUGGAAGGUAACUAACACAGCCAUUAACACAGCCAGGUCCUGGAAGGUAAG